ensembl:lncRNA
CUUUGAACAAAUUAAUUUCUUUAAAAAAUGAAGGAGAAGCAAGAGAGAGAGAGAGAGCUAGAUAUAUUUCAUUGUAUUACAGUAUUUUUUUCACUUUCACUUAGCUAGCGAAUGCAGCUAGCUAGUUUAGCCUACUCAAACACCCGGCUCAAACAGAGAGGGGUGCUAUCUAUGUUAGUAACCUGGCUAUGGUUAUCCAACACUGGAACUCUUCCAAGUCAAGGUCACAGACAGCUGAUGUGUUGUGCACUGAAGUCCACAAGUAAGGGAAAAAGGAUGUAGGGGGAGUGGCUUCCAUCUGACCACUCUACCAUAAAGGCCUGAUUGUUGACGUGCUACAGAGAUGAUUGUCCUUCUGGAAGGUUCUCCUAUCUCCACAGAACAAAUGAGUCAAUGGAAAGAUGUGGGGUGAUGAAAGAGAGCCAUGCCACCACCACUCAGAGCAGCCAGGGCCAGAAGAGGAAGAGGAAGAGGUGCCAGCUCUGCCCACCACUCAGAGCAACCAGGGCCAGAAGAGGAUGAGGAAGAGGUGCCAGCUCUGCCCACCACUCAGAGCAACCAGGGCCAGAAGAGGAAGAGGAAGAGGUGCCAGCUCUGCCCACCACUCAGAGCAGCCAGGGCCAGAAGAGGAAGAGGUGCCAGCUCUGCCCACCACUCAGAGCAGCCAGGGCCAGAAGAGGAAGAGGUGCCAGUUCUGCCCACCACUCAGAGCAGCCAGGGCCAGAAGAGGAAGAGGAAGAGGUUCCAGCUCUGCCCAAGUGCAAAGGAUAGAAAAGCCAGCUGCUGGUGUUCAGGUCUCAGUGCAACACACCCGUCUGCAAACAUGUUUUUGGUUUGGAACAAAUGCAUGGACUAAGACAGCAUACGUAAGCAUCACACACACAUGUUUUUC